UGAGGAAUAUUGGGCAAUGCCCGCAAGGGUGACCCAGCAACGCCGCGUGGAGGAUGAAUGUCGUAAGAUUGUAAACUCCUGUUAGAGGGGAAGAAUAGUACCGGUUGGACCGGUAUAUGACUGUACCCUCAGAAUAAGCCUCGGCUAACUACGUGCCAGCAGCCGCGGUAAAACGUAGGAGGCGAGCGUUAUCCGGAUUUACUGGGCGUAAAGCGCGUGCAGGCGGAUUGGAGAGUUGGAUGUGAAAGCUCCCGGCUUAACUGGGAGAGGUCGUUCAAUACUUCCAGUCUUGAGUGCAGUAGAGGGAAGUGGAAGUCCGGGUGUAGUGGUGAAAUGCGUAGAUAUCCGGAGGAACACCAGUGUCGAAAGCGGCUUCCUGGACUGUAACUGACGCUCAGACGCGAAAGCUAGGGUA
rnacentral:rRNA from 1 species